GAUGAGCGCUGGCGGCGUGCCUAAUACAUGCAAGUCGAGCGAACAGACGAGGAGCUUGCUCCUUCGACGUUAGCGGCGGACGGGUGAGUAACACGUAGGUAACCUACCUAUAAGACUGGGAUAACUUCGGGAAACCGGAGCUAAUACCGGAUAAUAUUUCGAACCGCAUGGUUCGAUAGUGAAAGAUGGCUUUGCUAUCACUUAUAGAUGGACCUGCGCCGUAUUAGCUAGUUGGUAAGGUAACGGCUUACCAAGGCAACGAUACGUAGCCGACCUGAGAGGGUGAUCGGCCACACUGGAACUGAGACACGGUCCAGACUCCUACGGGAGGCAGCAGUAGGGAAUCUUCCGCAAUGGGCGAAAGCCUGACGGAGCAACGCCGCGUGAGUGAUGAAGGUCUUCGGAUCGUAAAACUCCGUUAUUAGGGAAGAACAAACGUGUAAGUAACUGUGCACGUCUUGACGGUACCUAAUCAGAAAGCCACGGCUAACUACGUG
rnacentral:rRNA from 1 species